GUGUGCCCCUCCUGGGAUGCCUCCUGUGCUGGGCCCAGGACUUGCCUCACACACCCUCCCACGCACACACUUCCCCGCAGUGGGCACCCUAGCUGCGUGCCACCCGCUUGUGCCAUUCCCAGGGUGCUCCCCUCACACAGUCCCCUGCACAUAGUCUCCUGUAGUGUGCCCCUUCUCAGGGUGCCACCUGCCUGUGCCAGUCCCAGGAUAUGCUCCGCACACCCUCCCCCACACACAGUUUCCCGCACACAGUGUGCCCACUUGCAGGGUGCCACUGCCUGUGCCAGUCAAACAAGGCGCAUGUGCUGUCCAGAGCCCACACGGAGAAGGGAGAGAACAGAUUCUCAUAGUCGUUUACUGACCUAUAUACCAAAAACACAGCUUAACGAACUAAUAACAACCUGAAAUGAUUGUGAGUGUGUAAAGGCUCUUCUCACCGGCUGUGCUGGGGCCUCCACACAGCCAGGCUGGCAUCUGAGGAGGAGGAGGAGUCUCUCUGGAAGCUCUGCAGAUGGGUUGGCUCACCCGGGUAUCCCCUGUCUGCCCAGUUCUGCAGGCAUCUUGGGGUGAAGGCUCUGUAGGGAGUCUCCCUAUUUGUUUGUUUCCUUUGGGGUUGUGGGUUGGGAUGGAACCUGGAACUCCUGAAGGCCGAUUUCAAAAGCCAGGAAGGCUGUGGCUGCCCAGGCAGGCUGCUUUCAGAGGCCUUGUUGAGGACUGGUUGGCUUCAGCCAUGCUCCGGUCACUUUUGAGCUUGGAAGGAAAAAGUAGUUCUUUGUGUCUGCAUCUGCUGAGCCCUGUUCUGUCCCUACCAGCCCCAUGCUGAGGCUGUGGCCUUUUCUCCUUCCUCCCUCCUUCCCUGUCUUCCUCCUGCCGCCUUCCCCUCCCUCUCCUUCCCCCUUCCUCGCUCUCCUCUCUCCUGUAUCCCUCUCCCUCGCCUUUUCCUUACUUCUCCAUUCCUCUUCUCUCUCCCUCUACCUUCCCCUCCUUCCUCCUCCUUCUCCCUCCUCUUUCUCUCUCCCUUCCUCUCUCUCUCCAUCCCUCUCCCUCCCUCUCUCUUUCUCUCCCUCCUUUUCCCUCUCCCUCUCCUCUGCACCAGAUGGCUAUGAGCCACCGUGUGAGUCCUGGGACUCGAAUUCAAGACCUCUGGAAUAGCAGCCAGCACUCUCAACCUCUGACCCAUCCCUGCAGCCCCCUGACCUUGAACUUGUAGCCUUCUGGCCUCCACCUUCAGAUAGGUAGGUCUCCAUGCAAGCACCAGUAGCCAGUGUAUGUGUCUUUGGGGACCUGGCCAGGGCCUGAUGUAGUCUCGGGCCUACCCCCUGGGCCACAUCCCGGGUGAGUGAGCCCUCCCACUCUAGGACAGGGUCUUGUCGUGUGGCCCUGAGGAAUCUGGAGCCUAGUGCACCCCCAGCCAUCUUUCGGUGCGGGGCUUGGGGCAAUGGCCUCACUCCCUCCACCAACCUCAUGGUCUCGCUCUUCUUUUAGCCAGGUGUCCAUUUACAAGGUGGACCAGCAGGACAGUCGCAAAUUAUACACCACUGGCAUCAAUGGGGCCAUGAUGAUCUGGGAUUUCAAGGCAACCUGGAAGCCACCAUGGGUGUUAAUAUCCUGAUAGGAGCCACAGGAACCUGGAGGCCACCAUGGGUGUUGAUAUCCUCAUAGGAGCUACAGGUCAAUAGAGUGCGAUUUGUCCCUUUUGUUGGAGCAAGGAAAAUGGCUAUUUUGCUGGACCAGAACUUUUGCACAAAUUCUUGAUGAAUGCUAUUUUUGUUGACCUGGAGGCCAGCAUUGGUGGCUGAUAUCCUGAUAUCACAGGUUGAGACCUGUCCCAGGAGAAUCCAUAUUUACCCACAUGGAAGCCUAUGAGGAGUUCACCAACGAUGGAAUAUACUGGACCUUGCUAUGCCAAGGCUCCAGGAAACUCAGAAGAGACAGAACAAGGAAAAAAAAGAAAAACUACAUCUCUCCUUGUUUAAUGAUGUUUUGGUUGUGACUAAUAACCUAUGAGUAUGUCCCUCAUGCCUGCCAUAGUAUUAGAGGCUACACUUUGAUUAGGCUUUACUGUACAAAAAUAAAAUAGUUUUUUGUUCUGUU